UAGGGAAUCUUCGGCAAUGGACGAAAAGUCUGACCGAGCAACGCCGCGUGAGUGAAGAAGGUUUUCGGAUCGUAAAACUCUGUUGGUAGAGAAGAACGUUGGUGAGAGUGGAAAGCUCAUCAAGUGACGGUAACUACCCAGAAAGGGACAGCUAAACUACGUGCCAC
rnacentral:rRNA from 1 species